rnacentral:rRNA from 1 species
AGACAGGGCGCGGCUACACAUGCAGUCGAGCGGUAGAGAGAAGCUUGCUUCUCUUGAGAGCGGCGGACGGGUGAGUAAUACCUAGGAAUCUGCCUGAUAGUGGGGGAUAACGUUCGGAAACGGACGCUAAUACCGCAUACGUCCUACGGGAGAAAGCAGGGGACCUUCGGGCCUUGCGCUAUCAGAUGAGCCUAGGUCGGAUUAGCUAGUUGGUGAGGUAAUGGCUCACCAAGGCUACGAUCCGUAACUGGUCUGAGAGGAUGAUCAGUCACACUGGAACUGAGACACGGUCCAGACUCCUACGGGAGGCAGCAGUGGGGAAUAUUGGACAAUGGGCGAAAGCCUGAUCCAGCCAUGCCGCGUGUGUGAAGAAGGUCUUCGGAUUGUAAAGCACUUUAAGUUGGGAGGAAGGGCAUUAACCUAAUACGUUAGUGUUUUGACGUUACCGACAGAAUAAGCACCGGCUAACUCUGUGCCAGCAGCCGCGGUAAUACAGAGGGUGCAAGCGUUAAUCGGAAUUACUGGGCGUAAAGCGCGCGUAGGUGGUUUGUUAAGUUGAAUGUGAAAUCCCCGGGCUCAACCUGGGAACUGCAUCCAAAACUGGCAAGCUAGAGUAUGGUAGAGGGUAGUGGAAUUUCCUGUGUAGCGGUGAAAUGCGUAGAUAUAGGAAGGAACACCAGGUGGCGAAA